AUUGAACGCUGGCGGCAUGCCUUACACAUGCAAGUCGAACGGCAGCACGGGAGCAAUCCUGGUGGCGAGUGGCGAACGGGUGAGUAAUAUAUCGGAACGUGCCCAGUAGUGGGGGAUAACUGCUCGAAAGAGCAGCUAAUACCGCAUACGACCUGAGGGUGAAAGGGGGGGAUCGCAAGACCUCUCGCUAUUGGAGCGGCAGAUAUCAGAUUAGCUAGUUGGUGGGGUAAAGGCCUACCAAGGCAACGAUCUGUAGUUGGUCUGAGAGGACGACCAGCCACACUGGGACUGAGACACGGCCCAGACUCCUACGGGAGGCAGCAGUGGGGAAUUUUGGACAAUGGGCGCAAGCCUGUUCCAGCAAUGCCGCGUGCAGGAAGAAGGCCUUCGGGUUGUAAACUGCUUUUGUCAGGGAAGAAAUCCUCUAGGUUAAUACCCUUGGGGGGAUGACGGUACCUGAAGAGUAAGCACCGGCUAACUACGUGCCAGCCGCCGCGGUAAGAC
rnacentral:rRNA from 1 species